rnacentral:tRNA from 1 species
GGAGGGGUGCGAGAACGGCUAAUCGGGCGGUCUUGAAAACCGCUGGCUUUUACAGCCUUGUGGGUUCGAAUCCCACCCCCUCCGCCA